UUGGAAUUACAGCUGCAUUUCACCAGGCAAGGGGAAAAAAAAGAUAACUCUCACCAGAACUAACCUUUAUAAUUAAGGAAGAACUAAAAUAUGAACCAGCCAGAAAGAAGAGAUUUGGUUGACCAAGACAUGUCUUAGAGUUUGGUCAAGGGCCCUGCUCACAGAUUUCUACACUUGUACAAAUGCUGAAGAUGGAAAGGCCUUUCCUUAUUUAUUUGGAGACUUGAAAUAGAACUUUGCUUUCUUGCAGGAUGGUCUCCAGAGGGGAUAGUCUCAUGAGAUGGAGCAGUUGAUCACAUUUGAUGGUAACCAGCUUGACAACGCACCUUCAAAUGGACUCUCCACACUACCUUGCCUCGUUUGACUCUUCCCAGCUUCCUUGAGACUGAGCCCUGAGUAAAGCAAUUCAUGGUA